rfam:Hordeum vulgare subsp. vulgare, WGS project CAJW01000000 data, contig: morex_contig_1573058
UAAAUACUCCCUCCGUCCCGAAUUACUUGUCACAAAAAUAAAACAAAUGGAUGUAUCUAGAACUAAAAUACAUCUAGAUACAUCCAUUCCUACGACAAGCAUUUCCGGACGGAGGGAGUAUAAG